ensembl:lncRNA
CUGCGGUUCGAGUCUCGCUUGGGGUGCCUUGCGACAGACUGGCGUCCCGUCUCAGGUGUCUCCCCUCCCCCUCCGGCCUUACGCCCUGUGUUGCCGGGUAGGCUCCGGUUCCCCGCGACCCCCUAUGGGACAAGCGGUUCAGAAAAUGUGUGUGUGUGUGUGUGUGAUACUGCAGAAUUAUUCAAGUUGGUCAUCUCUACGUGCCGAAUGUGCAGCACACUGUCAAUAACGAAAGGACAGGACCUUGACCAGUAAACCCGCUGACUCUUAAACACUUACAGCGGAAGCUCAUGUACAAGGCAGAUGUGAAAAUUAUUGUCUGUUCUUAUUAACAGUGUGCUACAAAUGCAGAUGCUUCAAAUAGAAUCGCAAAUUGCAGUGCAAAAGCAUCGAUUUGACAUUACGGCUGAGCUCUUCGGACAAACGCGUCUUUUGAUACAAGUUCACCAGCUUUGGAAAUAGUCGCUCGUCGUUCGGGACGGAUGUGGCCUGACUGGCGGUGAUUUGGCCAAACGGCCUCCGUCUGCGUCGAGUCCGCGUGUGAAUGAAAGUGUCGACUUGUCUGAAGUACCGCCGAACUAUAGACACGUGACGUGUUGUGCGGGGCGGCAUUUCUACACCACACUGCAAAUCGGGACCAAAGUUCUUCUUGCUGUAGCUGCUUCUCUCACGUCGCGUGUGCGCGGGGAGCAGGGCGGACACACUGUGGUGACUGACCGACGCAACGGGUUCUCUGUGACGGAUCGACUCCGGAACUUUGGACGCGACUCUCGAUUCCUUGCCGCUAGGAUUCGAAGAAUCGACUCCCAGCCCCGCUCUAUCAUGGUUAUUACGCGUCGCAGGUUUGCGCUGCACACGUUAAGCACACGACACGUGUCAGUCGGUGUGAGUAAAACACGUCGAGUCCUUCCGCUUCUAAGGACUGAGAGAAAUAUACGGCACUGCGGACUGUCAUUUCAUUUGCAGGCUCUGCGAGCGGUUUCAGCAGCACUGCAGCCGACGACAGUACAGUCAGUACAACUUGUUCACACUUGGACUCGAGUAGAGCUGCACUCGGGUAACUUCUUCUUCUUGUACUGUACCGCGGUGGUGUGGAAGGAUCACGCUGACUCCGAAAGUCAUCACGCUGAUUGGAUAAGAGGGAUUCCUCUUACCGGGUGA